rnacentral:rRNA from 1 species
GGGGAUAACUAGUCGAAAGAUUGGCUAAUACCGCAUACGUCCUACGGGAGAAAGCUAGGGACCUUCGGGCCUGGCGUUAAUGGAGCGGCCGAUAUCUGAUUAGCUAGUUGGUGGGGUAAAGGCUCACCAAGGCGACGAUCAGUAGCUGGUCUGAGAGGACGACCAGCCACACUGGAACUGAGACACGGUCCAGACUCCUACGGGAGGCAGCAGUGGGGAAUUUUGGACAAUGGGCGAAAGCCUGAUCCAGCCAUUCCGCGUGAGUGAAGAAGGCCUUCGGGUUGUAAAGCUCUUUCGCAAGGGAAGAACACUUAAUCUCUAACAUAGAUUGAGGUUGACGGUACCUUGAUAAGAAGCACCGGCUAACUACGUGCCAGCAGCCGCGGUAAUACGUAGGGUGCGAGCGUUAAUCGGAAUUACUGGGCGUAAAGCGUGCGCAGGCUGUUUUGUAAGUCAGAUGUGAAAUCCCUGAGCUCAACUUAGGAACUGCGUUUGAAACUACAAGACUAGAAUAUGUCAGAGGGGGGUAGAAUUCCACGUGUAGCAGUGAAAUGCGUAGAGAUGUGGAGGAAUACCAAUGGCGAAGGCAGCCCCCUGGGAUAAUAUUGACGCUCAUGCACGAAAGCGUGGGGAGCAAACAGGAUUAGAUACCCUGGUAGUCCACGCCCUAAACGAUGUCUACUAGUUGUUGGUGGAGUAAAAUCCAUGAGUAACGCAGCUAACGCGUGAAGUAGACC